rnacentral:rRNA from 1 species
UGGGGAAUUUUCCGCAAUGGACGAAAGUCUGACGGAGCAACGCCGCGUGAGUGAAGACGGCCUUCGGGUUGUAAAGCUUUGUUAUUCGGGAAGAACGAUUCGUUUGUGAACAAUGAACGGAAGUGACGGCAUCGAAAGAGAAAGCCACGGAUAACUACGUGCCAGCAGCCGCGGUAAUACGUAGGUGGCAAGCGUUGUCCGGAAUUAUUGGGUGUAAAGAGCGCGUAGGCGGUAUGGUAAGUCUGUCUUAGAAGUGCGGGGCUUAACCCCGUGAGGGGACAGAGACUGUCAUACUGAAGUCUCGGAAAGGAAGGCGGAAUUCCUAGUGUGGCGGGGAAAUGCGUAGAGAUUAGGAAGAAAACCGGUGGGGAAGGGGGCUUUCUGGACGCGCACUGACGCUGAGGGGCGAAAGCGUGGGGGGCGAACAGG